rnacentral:rRNA from 1 species
GGACUACUAGGGUUUCUAAUCCCGUUCGCUCCCCUGGCUUUCGUGUCUCAGCGUCAGCAAGUCCCCAGCAGACUGUUUUCACCUUUGGCGUUCCAGACGAUAUCUACGCAUUUCACCGCUCCACCGUCUGUUCCAUCUGCCCCUAGACUGCUCAAGAUCGCCAGUAUGCCCAGCCAUUCCCCGGUUGAGCCGGGGGAUUUCACAAGACACUUAACGACCCGCCUACACACGCUUUAAGCCCAGUGAUUCCGCCUAACGCUCGGCACCUCUGUCUUACCGCGGCUGCUGGCAC